UUUUAUAAUUCAUUAAGGAGUACUUGGCUGCUUUGAUGGAAGUACCUUUGAACCCUUUUCCAUCUGAAAACUGAUGACCAAAAAA
ensembl:snoRNA